GCCCUUGAAAGAUAACAGAAA
rnacentral:tRNA from 1 species